rnacentral:rRNA from 1 species
UCUGGGAAACUGCCUGAUGGAGGGGGAUAACUACUGGAAACGGUAGCUAAUACCGCAUAACGCCGCAAGACCAAAGAGGGGGACCUUCGGGCCUCUUGCCAUCGGAUGUGCCCAGAUGGGAUUAGCUAGUAGGUGGGGUAACGGCUCACCUAGGCGACGAUCCCUAGCUGGUCUGAGAGGAUGACCAGCCACACUGGAACUGAGACACGGUCCAGACUCCCACGGGAGGCAGCAGUGGGGAAUAUUGCACAAUGGGCGCAAGCCUGAUGCAGCCAUGCCGCGUGUAUGAAGAAGGCCUUCGGGUUGUAAAGUACUUUCAGCGGGGAGGAAGGGAGUAAAGUUAAUACCUUUGCUCAUUGACGUUACCCGCAGAAGAAGCACCGGCUAACUCCGUGCCAGCAGCCGCGGUAAUACGGAGGGUGCAAGCGUUAAUCGGAAUUACUGGGCGUAAAGCGCACGCAGGCGGUUUGUUAAGUCAGAUGUGAAAUCCCCGGGCUCAACCUGGGAACUGCAUCUGAUACUGGCAAGCUUGAGUCUCGUAGAGGGGGGUAGAAUUCCAGGUGUAGCGGUGAAAUGCGUAGAGAUCUG